rnacentral:rRNA from 1 species
UACGUAGGGUGCGAGCGUUGUCCGGAAUUACUGGGCGUAAAGAGCUCGUAGGCGGUUUGUCGCGUCGUCUGUGAAAACCCGCAGCUCAACUGCGGGCUUGCAGGCGAUACGGGCAGACUUGAGUACUGCAGGGGAGACUGGAAUUCCUGGUGUAGCGGUGAAAUGCGCAGAUAUCAGGAGGAACACCGGUGGCGAAGGCGGGUCUCUGGGCAGUAACUGACGCUGAGGAGCGAAAGCGUGGGUAGCGAACAGGAUUAGAUACCCUGGUAGUCCACGCCGUAAACGGUGGGCGCUAGGUGUGGGUUUCCUUCCACGGGAUCCGUGCCGUAGCUAACGCAUUAAGCGCCCCGCCUGGGGAGUACGGCCGCAAGGCUAAA